rnacentral:rRNA from 1 species
CCUACGGGAGGCUGCAGUGGGGAAUAUUGGGCAAUGGGCGCAAGCCUGACCCAGCAACGCCGCGUGAAGGAAGAAGGCUUUCGGGUUGUAAACUUCUUUUCUCAGGGACGAAGAAAGUGACGGUACCUGAGGAAUAAGCCACGGCUAACUACGUGCCAGCAGCCGCGGUAAUACGUAGGUGGCAAGCGUUAUCCGGAUUUACUGGGUGUAAAGGGCGUGUAGGCGGGACUGCAAGUCAGAUGUGAAAACCACGGGCUCAACCUGUGGCCUGCAUUUGAAACUGUAGUUCUUGAGUACUGGAGAGGCAGACGGAAGUCCUAGUGUAGCGGUGAAAUGCGUAGAUAUUAGGAGGAACACCAGUGGCGAAGGCGGCUUACUGGACUGUAACUGACGUUGAGGCUCGAAAGCGUGGGGAGCAAACAGGAUUAGAUACCCGUGUAGUC